rnacentral:rRNA from 1 species
UACGUAGGGGGCAAGCGUUGUCCGGAUUCAUUGGGCGUAAAGAGCGUGUAGGCGGCCAGGUAGGUCGGUUGUGAAAACUGGAGGCUCAACCUUGAGCUUGCAGUGGGUACGGGCAGACUAGAGUGUGGUAGGGGAGACUGGAAUUCCUGGUGUAGCGGUGAAAUGCGCAGAUAUCAGGAGGAACACCGAUGGCGAAGGCAGGUCUCUGGGCCACUACUGACGCUGAGAAGCGAAAGCAUGGGGAGCGAACAGG